rnacentral:rRNA from 1 species
AAGUCGAACGCACAGCGAAAGGUGCUUGCACCUUUCAAGUGAGUGGCGAACGGGUGAGUAACACGUGGACAACCUGCCUCAAGGCUGGGGAUAACAUUUGGAAACAGAUGCUAAUACCGAAUAAAACUUAGUGUCGCAUGACAAAAAGUUAAAAGGCGCUUCGGCGUCACCUAGAGAUGGAUCCGCGGUGCAUUAGUUAGUUGGUGGGGUAAAGGCCUACCAAGACAAUGAUGCAUAGCCGAGUUGAGAGACUGAUCGGCCACAUUGGGACUGAGACACGGCCCAAACUCCUACGGGAGGCUGCAGUAGGGAAUCUUCCACAAUGGGCGAAAGCCUGAUGGAGCAACGCCGCGUGUGUGAUGAAGGCUUUCGGGUCGUAAAGCACUGUUGUAUGGGAAGAACAGCUAGAAUAGGAAAUGAUUUUAGUUUGACGGUACCAUACCAGAAAGGGACGGCUAAAUACGUGCCAGCAGCCGCGGUAAUACGUAUGUCCCGAGCGUUAUCCGGAUUUAUUGGGCGUAAAGCGAGCGCAGACGGUUUAUUAAGUCUGAUGUGAAAGCCCGGAGCUCAACUCCGGAAUGGCAUUGGAAACUGGUUAACUUGAGUGCAGUAGAGGUAAGUGGAACUCCAUGUGUAGCGGUGGAAUGCGUAGAUAUAUGGAAGAACACCAGUGGCGAAGGCGGCUUACUGGACUGCAACUGACGUUGAGGCUCGAAAGUGUGGGUAGCAAACAGGAUUAGAUACCCUGGUAGUCCACACCGUAAACGAUGAACACUAGUGUUAGGAGGUUUCCGCCUCUUAGUGCCGAAGCUAACGCAUUAAGUGUUCCGCCUGGGGAGUACGACCGCAAGUUGAAACUCAAGAAUUGACGGGACCC